UUUCUAAGAGUCGAGUUGUUUGGGAUUGCAGCUCAAAAUGGGAGGUAAAUUUCUCCUAAGGCUAAAUAUUGGCGAGAGACCGAUAGCGAACAAGUACCGUGAGGGAAAGAUGAAAAGAACUUUGAAAAGAGAGUUAAACAGUACGUGAAAUUGUUGAAAGGGAAACGAUUGAAGUCAGUCGUACUAACGGGAAAUCAACCUAUUUUGAGUUGUGAAUUUUGGAUUUUGAAGAGUGUAAACCUUCUGGUUCAAAUAUUCGCGCUUUUUGGGCGUAAUUUCUCGUUCGGUAGGUUAACAUCGAUUUUGAAUAUUAUAAAAUGACUGGAGGAAUGUAGCUUCGAUCUCGUAUUGAAGUGUUAUAGCCUUUGGUAGAUGUAAUGAUCAAGAUCGAGGAUUGCAACGAAUACCCUUUGGGCUAUCCGUCUGAUCUCUGAUACGUUGCCUUGGUAACGAAAGCUUGCUUACGGUAUUGAGGUAUAACGGUCAAAAGGUUAGAACGUGAUUACAUUCGUU
rnacentral:rRNA from 1 species